AUGCUCCAGCUCCUCACUGCUCUGGCGCUCUUGGGAGCGCUGGCCACCCCAGCAGGGACCUCCAAGACGUGUCCAGCCUGCUCUUUGCUGGGAGAUUGUACCGAGAGAACCUGUCCUCCCACCAAGGAAGCCUGCUUGUUUAGCCAGAUGCAGCUGGAAAAUGGGAAUCUCAUCAAGAACGGGUCAUGUGUCGCCCCUGGGGAAUGCCGAGAAGGUGUCUACUCCCUGACCUAUGGCCCCGACUUGAGUCUCUGGGUCAGCAUGGCCUGUUGUGAGGACAACUGCAGCAAGGCCACCCGACAAGAGGCACCACCCAAAGCCCAGCUCAACGGAGUGAAAUGUCACCACUGUUUUGGGGAUAAGUCAGCCUUGUGUGACUCCCGUUCGGUCAUGAACUGCACUGGUGAUCAGACCGUGUGUCUCACCCUCAACGGGACAUGGAAUGGAGGAGGUCCCCAAAUCUUGAAGGGCUGUGCUACCCCAAAUGUCUGCCACCUGCAAGUGAACACCAUCCUGGGACCAGAAGCAUCUGGAUUUCAUCUCAUCAGCAAGCCUGAAUGCGACUACAUGGUUACUACCCCCCAGCCAAACAGAUUUGCCAACAGCCUUCUUUUGGCUUAACAAAGAACACAGACAGUAAGUUUUAUCUUCCAGAAAAGAGAGUUGCUAAUUGAGAUAGUAUUUACUGGGGCAGCAGCUUUUUAAGUGAGACAACUGAACAGAAUCACAGAUGUUUCAGAGGUGAGAAAGGCAAUUUCCUUUUUUUUAAGAUUUUAUUUAUUUAUUUAUUUAUUUAUUUAUUUAUUUAUUUAUUUAUGAGAGAGAGAGAGAGAGGCAGAGAGAGAGAGAGAGAGAGAGAGAGGCAGAGACACAGGCAGAGAGAGAAGCAGGCUCCAUGCAGGGAGCCUGAUGCGGGACUCGAUCCCGGGUCUCCAGGAUCACACCCUGGGCUGCAGGCGGUGCUAAACUGCUGAG
rnacentral:lncRNA from 12 species